UACGAGAGGCCCAAACGUUAUUCGGAUUUACUGGGCUUAAAGAGUUCGUAGGCGGUCCGUCAAGUGAGGUGUGAAAGCCCUCGGCUCAACCGAGGAAUUGCGCUUCAAACUGUCGGGCUCGAGGGAGAUAGAGGUGAGCGGAACUGAUGGUGGAGCGGUGAAAUGCGUUGAUAUCAUCAGGAACACCGGAGGCGAAGGCGGCUCACUGGGGCUUUUCUGACGCUGAGGAACGAAAGCCAGGGGAGCGAACGGG
rnacentral:rRNA from 1 species